GACGAACGCUGGCGGCGUGCCUAAUACAUGCAAGUAGAACGCUGAAGGAGGAGCUUGCUUCUCUGGCUGAGUUGCGCACGGGUGAGUAACGCGUAGGUAACCUGCCUGGUAGGGGGGGAUAACUGUUGGAAACGAUAGCUAAUACCGCAUAAUAGUAGAUGUUGCAUGACAUUUUCCUAACAGCUGCAAUUGCAUCACUACCAGAUGGGCCUGCGUUGUAUUAGCUAGUUGGUGGGGUAACGGCUCACCAAGGCGACGGUACAGAGCCGACCUGGGAGGGAGAUCCGGCACCAUUGGACUGGGACACGGCCCAGACUCCCUCGGGGGGGCAGCAUAGGGGAACUUCGGAAAAUGACGGAAAGCCUGACGAAGCAAGCCGGCGUGGGGAAGGAAGGUCUUCGGACUGAAAGGUCCGUUGUGAGGGAAGAAAGAGUGUUAGGGUGGAAAGUUCACACUGUGACGGUAUCUUACCAGAAAGCGACGGCUAACUACGUG
rnacentral:rRNA from 1 species